rnacentral:lncRNA from 1 species
CGGCAAUUAAAUGAAAAAAAAAAAAAAGCGAAAAGAGAGAAUAGAACAUCAAUAACCCGCACACUCAUUUUCCCCCAAUUUAAGCUCUCCCAAAACACCUCCCUCCCAGUCGGCGCCUUACCUCCGGUCACAAUAUAAGCAUCGGAGAACACCACUGUAGCCUGACCUCAUGAAGAAUGCCUGCAUUUUUCCCAAUUUCUUCUCUCACAAAAACCCUCUCGAAGCCGACACCACACCCACCAUCCUCCUCGGUGACAUCGUACCUCCGGUCACAAUAUAAACACUGAAAACCAUUACACCACUUACUGUGGUUGAAGGCUCGAGAAAUGGGAGCUUGGCGGGGUUGAUUUCGGCUUAACUGCGAUCUGCAUUACUCUGCUGGUUGGUGUGCAUUUUUCGACCUUCAACUAUUCUGUUCACUGCCCGAGCGUAUACAUACUGUAUAUUUUUUGCCUGUGACAAUCUUGGUGCUUUCAGAGUAUUGUGAACCGCAGGUGAAAGGUACAAAGCUGUAAUUGUAGAAUUACUAAUUGAAUUGUUCUGUCAAUCUGAAAAUUCAUGUUAUUAGCCUCUUGAUAAAUUUUAACAUGUUGGAAAUGUAAUUUGUUUGAUUAAUCCAUGCUUCUAUCGCUACGUUGUCGGUUGUCUGGAUAAAACUUGUGUGUCGCCAUCGAUUUACAUGAUGUUUUUAUCGAAAUCAAAGUAGGUCAAAAUACUAAAUUCUUUUACGAUGGAAAAGCAGCUUAAGAAACCUAGGAAGACAUCUCCUACAUUUUAAUUAGUUGACUGGUUAUGGUGAAAAGGAUGGAUAAUAGUUGGGUUACCAGUGAAUAGUCAUUAAACAGUUGUGGAUUUGGAAAUAGACUUCCUGAAGGGCUCUAAAAAUUUAUAAAUGGAUGCUGUCCUUUUAAGUAUUACAUUUUGUUCUAUUUUAGCUGUAUGUCAACUGAAUACCUUUUGAAUGAAAUGUUGAAGGAGAGAAAGUUGAACCAGCUUAUUUUGAUUGCAUUCUCAACUGUUGUUGUACGUAAUCGGGGAUUAAUUCAUCCCAAUCGGUGUAUACACAUGUAUUUGAUGUAUGAUAAUGGACGAGGCUAAAUUUCAUGUCAAUUUCAAUAUAUAUAUAUAUAUAUAUAUAUAUAUAUAUAUAUAUAUUGCAUGAACUUAAAUCAAUCAAAUAAUUAUUCGUCCUAAUUAAUUUGCUCAUUUAGAUUGUAUUCAGGUGGAAUAAUGAUAAAUAAAGUGGAAGGAAGAAAUUUUUUUACAAAAAAUAGGAUUCCUGAAAAAUGGAUUAAUUAUUGAUUCGAAGAGGGGAGUGUGUAUAUAUAUAUAUGGUUUGGGUAUUUUGGGACUACUUCGGGCAGAUAAAGAUAAGUAAUGGAGAAGUAUAUUUGCAAUUGAUUUAUUUCACAUGCUACACAAUUUGGGGUUUAUUUAUAUAAUGGUUUGUACAAUUGAUUUAUGUGCUUGUUUUCCAUCUAAGGAUAUGAAAGGAAGGAAUGCUGGAAUUUGUCACAGCUGUUUUUUUAGUGAAUGCCCGAGAAAACGUCAUUGCCCAAGGUGUGCACAUGGAUUUCAAAAAUGUUUCGAUGUUGAAAGGAAGACGUGCAACAAAGGGCAAUUAUUCAACACAUGCAGUCAUAAAUGUGGAUUUUUUGAAUGGGUCGAACUAGGAGAGUCAAGCCGAGAAUAGAGUACCAUUAACGAAGCGCUUAGUGUUGCAGCAAAUGAGGAAGUCGAAGAUUUGCCAAGAAUGUUAGAUACGCUUAUUCCAAUAUCCGACGAACGAGACUUAGAGAUUAACCUGAACAUUACUUUCUGCAAGGGAAAAGGAAGUUCGGAAGGAAACGAGAAAGCAAAGGAGGCCACUUGAUUAGUUGUUUUGUGUUAAAUAUGUUAAUUGAAUUAUGUUUGUACUAUAACCCUCGAAUGACAUAACUAUGUAUGUUCCAUCGAAAAAUGGGUAUAAUGCAAUUUAGGUUUAUGUGUAUUCAUUACCUAUUGCCACUUUA